UGGGGAAUAUUGGACAAUGGGGGGAACCCUGAUCCAGCCAUGCCGCGUGUGAAGAAGGCCUUAUGGUUGUAAAGCACUUUAAGCGAGGAGGAGGCUCUUCUAGUUAAUACCUAGGAUGAGUGGACGUGUCUCGCAGAAUAAGCACCGGCUAACUCUGUGCCAGCAGCCGCGGUAAUACAGAGGGUGCGAGCGUUAAUCGGAUUUACUGGGCGUAAAGCGUGCGUAGGCGGCUUUUUAAGUCGGAUGUGAAAUCCCCGAGCUUAACUUGGGAAUUGCAUUCGAUACUGGGAAGCUAGAGUAUGGGAGAGGAUGGUAGAAUUCCAGGUGUAGCGGUGAAAUGCGUAGAGAUCUGGAGGAAUACCGAUGGCGAAGGCAGCCAUCUGGCCUAAUACUGACGCUGAGGUACGAAAGCAUGGGGAGCAAACAGG
rnacentral:rRNA from 1 species